rnacentral:rRNA from 1 species
UACGGGGGGGGCAAGCGUUGUUCGGAAUGAUUGGGCGUAAAGCGUCCGCAGGUGGCUGUGUAAGUCUGCUGUUAAAUAGUGAGGCUCAACCUCAUAAAGGCAGUGGAAACUACACGGCUAGAGUGCGUUCGGGGCAGAGGGAAUUCCUGGUGUAGCGGUGAAAUGCGUAGAGAUCAGGAAGAACACCGGUGGCGAAAGCGCUCUGCUAGGCCGCAACUGACACUGAGGGACGAAAGCUAGGGGAGCGAAUGGG